GGCAUUAAGAAUCCUGAAGCACUCUCAUCAACUAGGCUCAGGAAACACAUAGCAACAAUGUCAAAAAUUCUUAACCUUGAUGAGAAUGAAGCAGAUCAGCUGGCUGAUUUCCUCGGCCACGAUAUCAGAAUACACAGACAGUAUUACCGGUUACCAGAGGGCACUUUGCAGCUCGCAAAGAUGAGCAAAGUCUUGAUGGCAAUGGAAAAAGGGACACUGUCAUCCUUUAAAGGAAAGCGCCUUGAUGACAUUGAAAUCGACCCUAAUGAGCAACUUGAGGCACAAGACAAUGCCAUGUCAAGUGAUGAGGAGGAUGCAGACGAAGAGAGCUGCAGUGACUUCCCUCAGACAACAGCACCAGCGGACACUGAUCAACAAUCUGUUUCACUGAAAGAUCAAGGUUCAUCAAUCCCUUCAAAAAGAAAAUGGGAGGACUCUGAGGUAAAAGCAGUUGAAAAACAUAUGAUGAAGUUCAUAAAGACCUGCAAAGUUCCUGGUAAGCAAGACUGUGAGAGAUGCAUUGAAGCAGAGUCAGAAGCCUUAAAGGAACGAACAUGGACUGGUGUGAAAAAUUAUGUGCGGAACAGGAUCACAACUUUUAAAAAAAAGAGGUGGAUUUUAGAGGCUACAUUGCCUUUUACUGUAAAGUGA
ensembl:lncRNA